CUAGACUCGGGUGUGUGUCGGGGCCAGAAGAAGAAGCCCCUCUGCUCGUACAGAACAAAUGAAAAUAGUGAAAACACAGGCCCAGCUCUUCUCACUGUCUCUCAAUUUCUUCUCGGAGAAAAGAAUCCAAAUGGCCCAGUCUGGAACCCGGGAAAGGAAGUGGCAGAAAUGGAAGUCACCACUACCAACAACUUUAGCACACAACCCCCAGGCCAGUCUGGGAAGACUAGCAGGCAGGCAGCCCGUGCACCGCCUGUGAGAAUGUUAACACCUCUUUUUGCUAACAUUACCGAAACUAAGCCAUGGUAAAGGGCCUAGCUGAGGUUGGAGCCAGCUCAGGACAAGAAGGGAGGCCCUAAAGUGGAAGGUCUUGCCCAACACUGGUUUAGGACAUUUAACUGUAGUUCCCUUAAAGUCGGCUGUUUCAGGACAGAGGAAAGGAAGCAGGUAAACCAUGGCCUGGCCAAUCCCUCUACUCUGGACAUUCCGCUGGGCAAAGGCCCAAGUCAGAGAACCCGGCAAAGAAAGGGACAUGAUGGUCACAGCCUCCUUGCAACAAUCUGGACUGUCUCCCAGCGGCCAGACCCGCUGAUACCUUUGUAGUGGACCCGGAGGUUUCCCUGGGAGAGGCCGAUGUAGUUGUACUUGUCCUUGGGGCUCCAGGAUCGCGGCAGUGGCGUUUCGUGCUGAUUGACAGCAGGGUACAAGCGCUGCAGGCGCCGGCUCAAUUCCUGCUCCCCGGGUGACGGUAGCCCGCCCCCUGCAUCCCCACCGGAGGAGUCCCCAGUCUGCGGGUU